AAGGGUGUGGCUCAGUGGUAGAGUGCUUGCUUAGCAUGUGUUAGAUCCUGGGUUUGAUCCCCAGCACCCCAG
rnacentral:tRNA from 1 species